rnacentral:rRNA from 1 species
GACGAACCGUGCGAACGUUGUUCGGAAUCACUGGGCUUAAAGGGCGCGUAGGCGGCUUGCCAAGUCAGUGGUGAAAUCCUCCGGCUUAACCGGAGAAGUGCCAUUGAUACUGGCGAGCUCGAGGGAGGUAGGGGCAGCUGGAACUUCUGGUGGAGCGGUGAAAUGCGUUGAUAUCAGAAGGAACGCCGGUGGCGAAAGCGAGCUGCUGGAUCUCUACUGACGCUGAGGCGCGAAAGCUAGGGGAGCAAACGGG